rnacentral:rRNA from 1 species
GCUUAUACUCGACCGUCAGCGGCACGUGCGAUCGCGCGAGCGAUCACGAAGCCCUGACGAGUAGGAGGGUCGCGGCGGUGAGCGCAGAAGGGCUGGCCGCGAGGCCGUCUGGAGCCGCCGUCGGUGCAGAUCUUGGUGGUAGUAGCAAAUACUCCAGCGAGGCCCUGGAGGACUGACGUGGAGAAGGGUUUCGUGUGAACAGCCGUUGCACACGAGUCAGUCGAUCCUAAGCCCUAGGCGAAAGCCGAUGUCGAUGCGGUGUAGCUUUAUUGUUUGUAAUAAUUAACGCACACACCCGUCGGGCGAAAGGGAAUCCGGUUCCUAUUCCGGAACCUGGCAGCGGAACCGUAAAAAAGUCGGGC